CCAUCAAGGCAUCGGUGGACGUGUUAGAGAAGAAGACACCGCUCUGUGAGCAUUUACGCGUCAGUAUCUGGGAAGUAAUGAACACCACGCUUGCGCAGUUCCCACCUUGUGCCACCCACAUCAAUUGCAGGAGCGAGCAGGCAAAAAUCCUUGCCAACCUCUCUGUGGUGGCGCUGUUUGAAAACUUGUCGGCGGGGAACUAUUGCGUCCGGGUGACUCCUGUUUGCAGUGCAUACGAGGACUGCCUCACCCUCACUUCGAAGAUUGUUGAGAUGCCUUUAGGUAAG